AUUGAACGCUGGCGGCAGGCCUAACACAUGCAAGUCGAACGAGUGGCGGACGGGUGAGUAAUGUCUGGGGGACAGCCCGAUAGAGGGGGAUAACUACUGGAGACGGUAGCUCAUACCGCAUACCAUCGGAUGUGCCCAGAUGGGAGUAGCUAGUAGGUGGGGUAACGGCUCACCUAGGCGACGAUCCCUAGCUGGUCUGAGAGGAUGACCAGCCACACUGGAACUGAGACACGGUCCAGACUCCUACGGGAGGCAGCAGUGGGGAAUAUUGCACAAUGGGCGCAAGCCUGAUGCAGCCAUGCCGCGUGUAUGAAGAAGGCCUUCGGGUUGUAAAGUACUUUCAGCGAGGAGGCGUUACUCGCAGAAGAAGCACCGGCUAACUCCGUGCCAGCAGCCGCGGUAAUAC
rnacentral:rRNA from 1 species